rnacentral:rRNA from 1 species
UACGAAGGGGGCUAGCGUUGUUCGGAAUUACUGGGCGUAAAGCGCGUGUAGGCGGGUCGUUAAGUCGGGGGUGAAAGCCCAGAGCUCAACUCUGGAACUGCCUUCGAUACUGGCGACCUGGACCCAAGUAGAGGCGGGUGGAAUUGCGAGUGUAGAGGUGAAAUUCGUAGAUAUUCGGAGGAACACCAGUGGCGAAGGCGACUCGCUGGACUUGUGGUGACGCUGAGACGCGAAAGCGUGGGUAGCAAACAGG